rnacentral:rRNA from 1 species
GUGGGGAAUAUUGCACAAUGGGGGAAACCCUGAUGCAGCGACGCCGCGUGAGUGAAGAAGUAUUUCGGUAUGUAAAGCUCUAUCAGCAGGGAAGAAAUAGACGGUACCUGACUAAGAAGCCCCGGCUAACUACGUGCCAGCAGCCGCGGUAAUACGUAGGGGGCAAGCGUUAUCCGGAUUUACUGGGUGUAAAGGGAGCGUAGACGGCGUGCCAAGUCUGGAGUGAAAGCCCGGGGCUUAACCCCGGGACUGCUUUGGAAACUGGCGUGCUAGAGUGCUGGAGAGGUAAGUGGAAUUCCUAGUGUAGCGGUGAAAUGCGUAGAUAUUAGGAGGAACACCAGUGGCGAAGGCGGCCUGCUGGACUGUAACUGACGUUGAGGCUCGAAAGCGUGGGGAGCAAACAGG